rnacentral:rRNA from 1 species
CCUACGGGAGGCAGCAGUGGGGAAUAUUGCACAAUGGGGGAAACCCUGAUGCAGCGAAGCAGCGUGAGUGAGGAAGGAUUUCGGGGUGUAAAGCUCUAUCAGCAGGGAAGAAAAUGACGGUACCUGACUAAGAAGCCACGGCUAACUACGUGCCAGAAGCCGAGGGAAUACGUAGGGGGCAAGCGUUAUCCGGAGUUACUGGGUGUAAAGGGAGCGGAGACGGUUAAUCAAGUCAGAAGGGAAAACCCAGGGCUCAACCUGGGGACUGCUUUUGAAACUGAGUAGCUAGAGUGCAGGAGAGGUAAGCGGAAUUCCUAGUGUAGCGGUGAAAUGCGUAGAUAUUAGGAGGAACACCAGUGGCGAAGGCGGCCUACUGGACUGCAACUGACGCUGAGGCUCGAAAGCGUGGGGAGCAAACAGGAUUAGAUACCCCGGUAGUC